AUGGCGCUCGUUCUCACAGUUUGCUUCUUGGGCUUCUUCGUGCCCGCUCUGGCGUCGCCCUCCAACGACAACGACUUCCUCCAGUGCCUCUCGACGAACAUCCCCAGCCAGCUCGUGCAGACGCCGAGCUCGCCGUCGUUCAAGCAGCUCCUGGUGUCAUCCAUCAGGAACGCCAGGUUCGUGGCGCCGGCCACGGCGAGGCCGCCGCUCUGCAUCGUGACGCCCACCAACGCGUCGCAUGUCCAGGCCGCCGUGCGCUGCGGGCGCCGCCUAAGCGUGCGCGUCCGCAUGCGCAGCGGCGGGCACGAUUGUGAGGGCCUCUCGUACAGAUCGGGCAGCCCCAACAGCGAGGGGUUCGCGGUGAUCGACCUCGCCAAGCUCCACGCCGUCCGCGUCAACCCACAAGAGGCCACAGCCUGGGUCGACUCCGGGGCGGGGAUCGGGGAGCUCUACUACCAUGUCGCCACGGCGGCGCCUGGGCUGGGCUUCCCGGCUGGCGUGUGCCCGACCGUGGGCGUGGGGGGCAUCUUCAGCGGCGGCGGCAUAGGCCUGAUGAUGCGCAAGCAUGGUCUCUCCGCCGACAACGUGUUGGACGCCACCAUGGUCGAUGCCGAAGGGAACCUCCUGGCGGACAAGAAAGCCAUGGGGGACGACCUCUUCUGGGCCAUCCGCGGCGGCGGCGGCGGUAAUUUCGGCAUCGUGCUGUCGUGGAAGGUGAGGCUGGUGCCUGUUCCACCGACGGUGACCUUCUUCAGAGUCCCCAAGACCAUGGACCAGGGCGCAGUCGACGCCGUGACCAAAUGGCAAACGGUCGCGCCGGUGCUCCCCGACGACCUUAGCGUACGUGUCGUCGUGCAAAACCGUCAGGCCAACUUCCAGGCCUUGUACCUCGGCAACAGCAGCGCGGCGGUGGCGACGAUGGGGAGCCGGUUCCCAGAGCUCGGGGUGACACGUGCCAACUGCAAGGAGAUGAGCUGGCUGCAGUACACGGCAUACAUAUACUUCCGCGACGACAUCUACAACAAGCCGCUGGACGAGCUCCUCCUCAACCGGUCCAUGACCUUAGGCCCCUUCUUCAAGAACAAGUCGGACUACGUCAAGAAACCCCUGAGCAAGGACACAUUGGAGAAGAUGUUCCUCUGGCCCGAGGGUGCCGCGACGGGGCAGCUCGUCCUUGAGCCGCACGGCGGAAGAAUGGGCCGCAUCGCGGCCGAUAACACCCCUUUCCCGUACCGGAGCAGCGUGCUCUACAACAUCCAGUACGUCGAGUUCUGGAACGGCGAAGGGACCGGAGGCAAGGUUACACCCGACUGGGUCGGGAGCCUCUAUGACUUCAUGGCGCCGUUUGUGAGUAAGGACCCGAGGGGUGCGUACGUGAAUUACCGGGACCUUGACAUCGGCGCGAACAAGGUGGUUGACGGCGUGACGAGCUAUGAAAGUGCCAAGGUGUGGGGCGAGAGUUAUUUCGGCCCGGAAAACUUUAAGAGACUCGCAAAGAUCAAGCGCAAGGUGGACGCCGGCGACUACUUCUGGAGCGAGCAAAGCGUCCCACCACUUCCCUUGAACCAGUAG
rnacentral:rRNA from 1 species